CCCAGCAGCCAGGGCUCUGCAUCCCGGUGGCUGGCCCCGCCCACCACACUAACAGUACAGUAGCCAGCGUGACACAGCCCAGCCUUCCUGCUUGUGUCUGCCCUGUGCUACCUCCCCCACCACACACUCCCUGCUCUUCACAGGAGGGACUCAGGGAGCAACAAACCAGUGAUCAGAGCGGAGCUGCCAGCUGGGGAAAUGCAUAUCACACACAGCUGGGAGAUGCCUCUACGCCAAGGUUCUACUAAUGAACGAUAAGAACUGCUACACCUAAUGUAGAUCUAAAAGAUGCAUCACCAGGAGACCCUCUAGAGUUUGAUGUGUUCAGAAAUAAAUAAUGAACAUGAGUGCUGUGCAGGGGGCACUGCCUUACGUCCGGCUGUGAAGGGAUGUCACAGACUCCAUAUUUAAAUUCCUGGAAAUUUACAGAUGGUUUUAUUGAAGCAUAAAACAUCCUGAGAGACUUGAAAUCACUUAGCACGGAACACUGUCGUAUAGGAACACAGCAGCCGCUCUCUGCACACAGAUGUAGUGAGCCUCUGGUCUAAUUGUGCCAGUUCUGUCACUGGUCCUCACAAAAUAUCCGCUCAUUAAAGCCAACAAUGCACAAUGUUCAGCCCGCUAACCCACAACGUUAUUCUUCCAGAUCAGGAGUUUCAUUAGUGCAUAUCCAAAAAGACGCUCAUUACAUUCCCUAAAGUGGAUGUAGAACACUUCAUCUCGAGCUAAUAACAUGAGGUUAAAGUAAACACAGGACGAGGGAAGGGCUGUGAUUGGAUAACAGAGCAUGAUGCUCGCAGACAGUGUAGUAGAUUUGAUUAAGUAGCAAUGUUUGACGUCUUUGCCCUUUAAUUACACAACAAAGUGAUUCAUUUUGCACACCAAAUGAGAACAAUUUUCAAACUAGAACCUUCAUUUACAUCAAGGCAAGCAUGUAGGACAAUGACCACUAAAAUGCAAGUGGCCAUAAAAUAUAAAAUAAGGAUUGGUAACUGUGCAAGCUGCAUUACAGCGGUUGUCCACCCUCAGAGAUGCAUAUUACCUCCUAUAAGUUUUUCUAAAGCACUACUUUUAAAUUUGUGGAUUCAUCCUGUGCUUUAUAGCCAGGAAUUUAUAUCACCAAGUAGAAAAAUGGAUGUUACCUUGAAUGCAAUGCAACUGUUUCAGGCUCUUUUCAUUGGUUGCAAUUACAUCCAGACUUCAGCUUUUUUUUUGUUGUAUCCCAUAUAAGGUAAGAUUAAAAUACUACUUGAUGAUAUACAGACAUGGCUGAAAUAGCAGAGAAAAAAGACAGAAUGUAAAAACUAUACGUAAAAAUGGCUUGAUGACAUGUACAAACCCAUGCAUAAAAUAUUCAGACAUUAUAAUAAUCUUUUAACUGCUGUAAAGCAGGAUAUACAAUAAAGUCAUAGUUUUACACCUC